UUUUGAAGGUUUUUCUUCCUUAUGCAUCCGCGGGUCACUUUAACUUGUUCUCCAUCGAUAAGAAUGCAUGUAUUGUGUCUAUUAUUGAUCCUUGGUCCAUGCCGCCAUCGUCAGAGGGUAAAAUGGUUCGGUCGCAUAAGAUGAAAUUGAUCUUACAAAGAAUUGCAAUCUACCUAACCGACGCACUUGCAUUAGCACAACCUGGUUGGGAUGCCGAUAUAUUUUUCUGGCCACGCACAUCGCCAACUGAUAUUCCGUAAAGUUCAAGCAUGAAAGCGUCUGGUUAUUUCAUUUUUUAUAUUAUGUUCUCAUGGAAUGGUAAAAAGUUGGUUCAUCCAAUAUGCACGAAUGUUAUCGACCCGAGGAAGAAUUUUUUGGUACGCUUGCUCAAGUACCAUCAAAAUGAAGCACUCGAAAAUAUUUCAUACAUUGUACGACAUACUCUAAGGAGUAUCGAGGAGGACAUUUUUUUAAUAUAAAAUAGUUAAUUAGUAGAGUACUUAUUGCAUAUUCAAACGAUGUCAAUUAUAUGGUUGUUAAAUAUA